rnacentral:rRNA from 1 species
GACGAACGCUGGCGGCGUGCUUAACACAUGCAAGUCGAACGGAAAGGCCCUGCUUUUGUGGGGUGCUCGAGUGGCGAACGGGUGAGUAACACGUGAGUAACCUGCCCUUGACUUUGGGAUAACUUCAGGAAACUGGGGCUAAUACCGGAUAGGAGCUCCUGCUGCAUGGUGGGGGUUGGAAAGUUUCGGCGGUUGGGGAUGGACUCGCGGCUUAUCAGCUUGUUGGUGGGGUAGUGGCUUACCAAGGCUUUGACGGGUAGCCGGCCUGAGAGGGUGACCGGCCACAUUGGGACUGAGAUACGGCCCAGACUCCUACGGGAGGCGGCAGUGGGGAAUAUUGCACAAUGGGCGGAAGCCUGAUGCAGCAACGCCGCGUGCGGGAUGACGGCCUUCGGGUUGUAAACCGCUUUCGCCUGUGACGAAGCGUGAGUGACGGUAAUGGGUAAAGAAGCACCGGCUAACUACGUGCCAGCAGCCGCGGUGAUACGUAGGGUGCGAGCGUUGUCCGGAUUUAUUGGGCGUAAAGGGCUCGUAGGUGGUUGAUCGCGUCGGAAGUGUAAUCUUGGGGCUUAACCCUGAGCGUGCUUUCGAUACGGGUUGACUUGAGGAAGGUAGGGGAGAAUGGAAUUCCUGGUGGAGCGGUGGAAUGCGCAGAUAUCAGGAGGAACACCAGUGGCGAAGGCGGUUCUCUGGGCCUUUCCUGACGCUGAGGAGCGAAAGCGUGGGGAGCGAACAGGCUUAGAUACCCUGGUAGUCCACGCUGUAAACGGUGGGUACUAGGUGUGGGGUCCAUUCCACGGGUUCCGUGCCGUAGCUAACGCUUUAAGUACCCCGCCUGGGGAGUACGGCCGCAAGGCUAAAACUCAAAGGAAUUGACGGGGCCCCGCACAAGCGGCGGAGCAUGCGGAUUAAUUCGAUGCAACGCGUAGAACCUUACCUGGGUUUGACAUGGAUCGGGAGUGCUCAGAGAUGGGUGUGCCUCUUUUGGGGUCGGUUCACAGGUGGUGCAUGCCUGUCGUCAGCUCGUGUCGUGAGAUGUUGGGUUAAGUCCCGCAACGAGCGCAACCCUUGUUCACUGUUGCCAGCACGUUAUGGUGGGGACUCAGUGGAGACCGCCGGGGUCAACUCGGAGGAAGGUGGGGAUGACGUCAAGUCCUCAUGCCCCUUAUGUCCAGGGCUUCACGCAUGCUACAAUGGCUGGUACAGAGAGUGGCGAGCCUGUGAGGGUGAGCGAAUCUCGGAAAGCCGGUCUCAGUUCGGAUUGGGGUCUGCAACUCGACCUCAUGGAGUCGGAGUCGCUAGUAAUCGCAGAUCAGCAACGCUGCGGUGAAUACGUUCCCGGG